UUGUGAUGUUUGACAAUAAUCUCUUAUAGUAUCUCUUCCAAAAGCUGGGGUUACUUUCUAGAAACCAUGGAGAUAUUUUCACAGUGGCUUAAGAGAGAGCUUGCAAAACACCUGUGCCAGGUAGGAAAUCCUUCAGUUCUGUUCAUUUCUACCAAUUUGUGUAAAUAUCUAUAUAAAUCACACAGAAUACUAGUCCAAAUUGUUCUAGUUUGUGCUAACUUGGAUAUAAAAUUAACUAGCUUGGUAAAUUAAAAGGUGCUGAGGGAGAUUUUAUACCAUUAUAUCCUUUACAAAAGUGAAAAGCCAUUUUCUUUUCCCAUGGACCCAAGUUUUCCUUCCAUAAGUCAGCCUUCUUUUUUCCCUUAAGGGUCACUAAACAGAUUGUGGUUUGGUUUUACCAUGUUACAGGGAAGGAGAAAAAAGUUGUAAUUACAGCUGACAUGGCUUCCUAUUGGACGGGUGUUGGGUUUACUGAGCAGCUUUGGUUGUUCCUGGGCUUCUAGGAACAUGAUGGGUGUCUAACCACCUGGAAUCUGAAAAUAAAAUCAAGCCAUGACAGCAGUUAAAGUGAGGGCAAAUAGAAAAAUGCUAUUUUUUUUUGGAAGAGCACCACAUUGUUUUAUAAACAAAGGUAUAUUCUGAGCUACAAUAUCAGAAUACCUUUUACAUUUUCAGAAGUGAUCUUCAAAGGGAAUGCAAAACAGCAUGCCACAUUGGAAAACAGUCUGGCACUUUCUUUCAAAACCAAAUGUAUUCUUACCUAUGAUCCAGUCUCAUGCUCCUUGGUAUUUACCCAGUGAGCAGGAAACUUAAGUCCACACAAAAUCACACAGAUGCAUAGAACAGUUUUCUUCAUACUUGCCAAAAUUGGAAGCAGUAAAGGAUUCCCUCAAGAUGAAUGAAUAAGCAACCUCUGGUAGAUCAAUAAAAUGGAAAAUUAUUCAAUGAUGCAAAGAAAUGAGCUGUCAGACCAUGAAAUGACAUGAAGGAAACGUAAAUGCAUAAUGCUAGGUAAUUAAGCCAAUCUGAAAAGAUUAUCUACUGUCUGUUAACAACUAUAUGACAUGCUGGAAAGGACAGAAGUAUGGAGAUAGUUAAAGAUCAGCGGUUGCCAGAGUCUGGUGGGGAAGAAGGAUGAACAGGUGGAGCACAAGGGAUCUCUAGGGCAGUGAAGUGACUCCGCAUGGUGCUGUAAGAGUGGGCCCAUGCCAUAGACCUGUCAAACCCCACGGAAUGUGGAACACCAAGAGUGAACCCUAAUGUAAACUUUGACUUUUGGGUGAUAAUGGUAUGUCAAUGCAGGGUCAUUGAUUUUAAUAAAUGUACUGAUCUGAUGUGGGGUGGUAGUGGAGGAGGCCAUGCAUUUGUAGGAGGAGAGGUUACAGGGGAACUCUGUUGUCCAUUCAGUUCAGAUGUGAACCUAAAAUUGCUAUUAAAAAUAAAGAUGUUUCUACAAUA